AUUAACUGGGUGGUGACUGAAGGCAGGUAGGAAGUGGCUGAGUGUGGUAUCCCACUGAUGGUGGGCCUUUGGGUUUGUGUUUUGUCUCUGGUGAUUGACGUUUUCCAUUUGGUUUCUUGCCUUUAUGACCUGUACAGUUUUCGUCUUAGUUUUCUCUACAUUUUUUAAUUGUUGUAUUAUAUUUGUGCAUGUGGAUGGGAUUUGUUUCUCCACACCUGUCCUGCACACAGUAAGACAACAUAAAGUGGCCAACAUCACUCCCCAGCAUUUUCCUACUCCCCUGGUUCCUCCCAUCCUUUGCUCCUUUCCUUUACUGAUCUUUAUUUAUUUUUUAGGAGAUCCACACCCACCCUUACUUUCCUUUUUCUUCUCUAGCUUCCACAUAUUAAAGAAAAUAUACUACUCCUAUCUCUCUUAGUUUGACUUAUUUCCCUUGACAGGAGGGUCUCUUUUUCCAUCCAUUUCCCUGCAAAUAACAGAGUUUCAUUUUUCUUUCUGACUAAAUAAAACUCCACUAUGUACAGAUACCACAUUUUCUGUGUGAGUUCAUCUGUUGAUGGACACUGAGGCUGGUUCCAUAGUCUAGCUAGUGUGAAUUGUGCUGCCAUAAACAUGGGUAUGCAUUUGUCACCACAGUACAAUUACUUUAAUUCUUCAGGGCACAUACUGAAAAGUUUUAUACCUGGGUCAUAUGGUGGUUCCAUGCCUAGUCUUGAGACUCCUCCCUACUGAUUUCCAUUGUGGAUAGACUCAUUGACAGUCUCACGAACAGUGAAAAAGUUUUCCAUUUUAUCCACGUCCUCUCUUGAAUUAAUUUUUAUUUCUGUUUUUGAAGAUUGCCAUUCUGACUGGUAUGAGAUGAGAUCCCUGUUUAGUUUUGAUUUGCUUUUCUCUAAUUGCUAAGGCUGUUGAACCUUUUUUUAUGUAUUAGAUGGCCAUUUCUAUUUCUCCUUUUGAGAAGUGUCUGUUCAGUUUAAUUGCCCAUUUAGAAGGUGGGUUUCUGAUUGUUUUAUGUUUUAGCAUUUUCUGAGAUCUUUAUACAUUGUGGAUGUAAAUCCCCAGUCAGAAUAAUAGCUAGCCAAGCUGUUUUCCUUUCUGUCGAUUCUCUCUUCACAUUCCCAAUUGUGACCUUUGCUGUGCAGAAGCAUUUUAAU
rnacentral:lncRNA from 1 species